rnacentral:lncRNA from 1 species
CAGAAUUUAAUGACCUCAUGAGAGUUUCUUGAUGCUCUUCUGGGCUCUUUUUUGUCUCUUGAGGCCAAAAUCCAAAAUAGACAAUAGCAACCCUUUUACCAAAAUGUUGCAUGGUGUUUAGCUCUAUUACGUAAAAUGAUGGAUCAAAGCCCAAUUUUUUUUAGGAUGAAAGGAGAACCAAGAGCAACUCCAACAUCACUAUUCUUAUUAUGGAGGCUAUUUUAGAACUUGUAUACCGGAAGAAUAGUCUUCAACAUAUGUGUUAUUUGGUUUUAUAAAAUAGAAAGUUGGUUAUCUUUUGAUUUUUGUGGCCAUAUAUAGCUAACUGCUAGCAGUAGCCAUCUGAU